rnacentral:rRNA from 1 species
CAGUCGCCGCGGUAAUACGUAGGGGGCAAGCGUUAUCCGGAAUAACUGGGCGUAAAGGGUGCGCAGGUGGUUUAACAGGUUAGUGGUGAAAGGCAUAGGCUCAACCAAUGUAAGCCAUUAAAACUGUUUAACUUGAGUGCAGGAGAGGAAAGUGGAAUUCUUAGUGUAGCGGUGAAAUGCGUAGAUAUUAGGAGGAAUACCAGUGGCGAAGGCGACUUUCUGGACUGCAACUGACACUGGGGCACGAAAGCGUGGGGAGCAAACAGGAUUAGAUACCCCAGUAGUCCCUGUCUCUUAUACC